rfam:Myotis davidii contig132896, whole genome shotgun sequence.
AGCGUUUCUCAGGUGAUGCACCCUGGAAUUGGGCUCCCUCCUCUCUGGUUCUGGGUGUGUCAGCCAAGAACCACA